rnacentral:tRNA from 1 species
UCCCGUGUGGCUCAGUUGGUAGAGCAUGGUGUUUGCAACGCCAGGGUUGUGUGUUCGAUUCCCACGGGAG